GCGGAAUCAAUGGAAGUAAAGUGAUGUGUUGUUGUUUUUUUGUUCACUCGCGCUUCAUCUGGCGCGUGAGUCUCCAGCUUCCUCCGCCGGAGAAUUCGCGCAAUGACGACGAGCAGCCAAUUCACGGCCUUCGAUGGCGUUCGUCAACGGCAACUCGCUCUUCACUCUCACCGUCUUCACUUUAUUCCUCUUCUCCAGCCUCGUCGCUCUGGGUCUCAAGCAGGACAUUCUCCUCAGCAUUACGGCGUCGUUUCACCUCCCGGCAUGGCUCGAGCCCGUGGUCUACGACUUCAACAAGUCGGUUUUUCGGUUGGGCAUGCUGGUUUCGGGUGUGGGUUCGGCUUUUGGAUGUGGGUUUUCUCCUGACGGCACGGCUCUGGUGAAUAUUGUUCAGAUCAAGCUUGGAACUUUGGCUUGUGGAAGUGGGCACACUUAUCCAAGCUCCUGGUAUUGGUGGCCAAUAUGCUGAUUCUGCAUUCGGAUUCUCACAGAUCUCUCUUGAUGUCUUUAGAUUCUGAUAUUUAUGUGGGGUUUAGGGGAUUUCCCAAGACGGGAAUAUGCUUUAAGGUGUGAGAUUUCAGUUGCUGAAGAUUUGUUGGUGGGAUGAUGUCUCAGGAUGAUAGGGAUUCGGCGUUGCGUUAUGUGGACUAAUCACCUUUCAGAUGGAAACUUAUUCGGUUUGAUUGCUACUUGUUGAACUCUGGAAUACACACGCUAUAGAUUAUGCUUGGAUCUGAUUCUUGCUUGGCAUGAUAGGUGGAGUUCAUGUCAGAUAGCCUGAGUUAGCCGCCAUAGUUGAAAGAAUUGUCGGUUGAUGUUGCAUAGAAGAAUCUGUCUAUGUUUCUUGUUUGGAAUUCUAGCAUGCACUUGGAUGAUGAUUCCACUAAUCCGAAGUUUUCGUGUUCUAGAUUUCGUCUGAUGUUUCUUUGCGGUAAUAGCUCGCCCGAUUCUGUCGAGGGUAGACCCGGUUUUCGCUAGCCGACUUCAAUGGCAGAAGGAAAAACCAAUCGUCCAUCUGUUGGUGCGUUCAUUCAGUUUGUUCAUCAAGAGUUCUUGAGCAAAACUCGGAUAUCGCAAUGACCAUUCCUGAACGCCAUUAAGGUUACGAGUGCAGAGCUUAGACUCUGCCUUUGAAGCUGGCAGAGACCAGAAAUGGUGAAGCUACUUGUCCCCAUCCUGUGUACGAAUCUUAUGAAUAGAUGUACGUAUGAUUUCACCUUUGGGCGAUAACGAGCUCCUUCUGUCGCAUGUUUUCUCGUAUGAAAUCAAUACAACGACGAUAAUUCUGCGUA